CCUACGGGGUGCUGCAGUGGGGAAUAUUGGACAAUGGGGGAAACCCUUAUCCAGCGACGCCGCGUGAGGGAAGAAGGUUUUCGGAUUGUAAACCUCUGUCAGUGGGGACGAUAAUGACGGUAACUAAGGAGCAAGCCACGGCUAACUACGUGCCAGCAGCCGCGGUAAUACGUAGGUGGCAAGCGUUGUCCGGAAUUACUGGGUGUAAAGGGAGCGUAGGCGGGAAGCCAAGUCAGCUGUGAAAACUACGGGCUUAACCUGUAGACUGCAGUUGAAACUGGCUUUCUUGAGUGAAGUAGAGGUUGGCGGAAUUCCGAGUGUAGCGGUGAAAUGCGUAGAUAUUCGGAGGAACACCGGUGGCGAAGGCGGCCAACUGGGCUUUAACUGACGCUGAGGCUCGAAAGUGUGGGGAGCAAACAGGAUUAGAUACCCGAGUAGUC
rnacentral:rRNA from 1 species